rnacentral:rRNA from 1 species
AGCGGCGGACGGGUGAGUAAUGCGUAGGAAUCUACCCUUUUGUGGGGGAUAGCCCGGAGAAAUCCGGAUUAAUACCGCAUAAGCUCUUCGGAGGAAAGUGGGGGAUCUUCGGACCUCACGCUGAAGGAUGAGCCUACGUUGGAUUAGCUUGUUGGUGGGGUAAAGGCCUACCAAGGCGACGAUCCAUAGCUGGUCUGAGAGGAUGAUCAGCCACACCGGGACUGAGACACGGCCCGGACUCCUACGGGAGGCAGCAGUGGGGAAUAUUGGACAAUGGGCGCAAGCCUGAUCCAGCCAUGCCGCGUGUGUGAAGAAGGCUCUAGGGUUGUAAAGCACUUUAAGCAGGGAAGAAACGCUGUUGGUUAAUAACCAUCAGUACUGACGGUACCUGCAGAAUAAGCACCGGCUAACUCCGUGCCAGCAGCCGCGGUAAUACGGAGGGUGCAAGCGUUAAUCGGAUUUACUGGGCGUAAAGCGUGCGUAGGCGGCUACGUAAGUCAGUUGUGAAAGCCCCGGGCUUAACCUGGGAACUGCAAUUGAUACUGCGUGGCUAGAAUUCGGUAGAGGAAGGUGGAACUCCACGUGUAGCGGUGAAAUGCGUAGAUAUCUGGAGACAUCAAUGGCGACGCAUCCUUCUGGGCUGAGUGACGCUGAGUACGAAGCGUGGGAGCCAACCAGAAUAGAUACCUGGGAAGUUC